ensembl:lncRNA GTF3C2-AS1 GTF3C2 antisense RNA 1
AGACAGGCCCUGCUAUGCUGUGACCACCACUACAGCAGCCCCAUUCUCCUUGCUGUGCUACUCACCUGGGGGUUGCUGAGCCAGCAGGGCCUCCGGAUGGGGUAGACUGAAUAGCAGUACUUUCCCGUCUGAGCAGGCCAGAGCCAAGAGACCCAACCGGGGCAGGAGAGGAGCCUAAAGGGUAAAAGGGCUGGAGAAAAGAGCCACAUAUUGCGAGGCUCCUGCCCCCUCUGGCACUGGGCACCAGUCCAGAGCCCAGAGCGGUCCCCCCGUGAAGAAGGACACAUCCCAGCGCUCUGGAUGUGCUGUGAUCGAGCUAAAUCUAGAGAAAAAUCAAAGAUGGGAUGAAGAAAGGAAUUAAUGAAAGAAUCAGAAAAAAGGGCGGAUGUGCAAUCUUCACCUGUUUAUUCGGUAGAGGGUGCCAUCUUCAGGUAGCCCUUCACGUUGUACAGAAAACAAUGGAGACUUCUCCUCCUGGGGCAGCUCAGAUAACAAGUGCCACUUCCAGGCUAAAGGAAUCCACUCAGCAAACUCCCAGUAUGAAUGUUUCUGCUCUCGGCUGGAGAAACAGAAGAAGCAUUAAUGAAGGAGAGGGAUUCUACAGCCGCACAGUCCAAUAAAACUUUCUGUGGGGAUGGAAAUGAUCCAUUAUCUGUGCUCCCCAAUAUGCCAGUUGCUAGCUCCAAUUAGCUACCAAGCACCUAAAAUGUGGCUAGCGCAGCUGAGAAACAGAGCCUUUCAUUUUAUUUCACUUUAAUUAAAGAGUUCUAGAGCUCUUGCCUCUAGAGCAGUGCUUUUUAG